UACGGGGGGGGCAAGCGUUGUUCGGAAUUACUGGGCGUAAAGGGCUCGUAGGCGGCCAACUAAGUCGGAUGUGAAAUCCCCAGGCUCAACUUGGGAACUGUAUCCGAUACUGGAUGGCUUGAAUUCGGGAGAGGGAUGCAGAAUUCCAGGUGUAGCGGUGAAAUGCGUAGAUAUCUGGAGGAAUACCGGUGGCGAAGGCGGCAUCCUGGACCGAUACUGACGCUGAGGAGCGAAAGCGUGGGGAGCGAACAGG
rnacentral:rRNA from 1 species